ensembl:lncRNA
GAGUGACCGGUGACUGGCUGCUUCAGCCAAUGAUGCGAUUCACAUACAUUUACCAUAGACUGUAUAUAAUAGUAUUUACACAGCUAAUCAACGUCAGGCUUCCUUAUGUGCAGCCACCGUUGUUCUCAUAGAUAUGAAUGAGUAGAUAGGACACGCCCCUUUGAGCUGCGUGCUACAGCGAGGCUAAGCUAGUGGGGGCAAAAUUUCAGUGCAUUCCGUUGAUGUAGACGGCGUGAAAACGGAAACAGCAAGUAUGCCGGCUCACUGUGCUGCAUACAAUUACACACUAUGUCGUACGAUUGAGACAAGGAAACUUGGAAUGACUUUUCAUAGGUUUCCCAGAGACUAUGGGUUGAGGAGGAAGUGGAAGUUUGUCGGCUUAGACCUGUGUCAUUCCAUCAGUGUUAAACUUCCCGGCUCAUCUUGGAAGAGUACGUGCCAGAAAGACCACGACCAAGCAGCCUUGAGAUCUUAGGCAGCGUCUCCCUGAGGUCCCUCUCUAUCUCCCCACACAUGCACCAACCACUGGAACACAUCUCCAAAGUUCUGCCGGGCCAGCUCAGCUUCCCCUCAGAAGAAGUGCUGCCACCUGCCAGAUGAAGGAGCCUUUUGAGAGGCAGCUGGCAUCAUGAUUGGACUGUACUUUGGUCUGUUCCAGUCCAGCUUCAGCACCAGAGACGGCAGGCGGGACGAGUCAACGGAGGCCGGGUGGACGAAGACCAAAGAACUACAGACUCUUCACAACCUGCUCAAACUCUUGGUACAGGACCUCACCACACGGGUCAAGAAGGUUUCCGUCUCAUUUCUACUCUGAAGCUCACCUUCUCCUGCUCAAACUGCUGGCAAAUGUUUCUGCUGCUCUAAAGUCUGGUCUCCAGAACUUCCUAAAAACUCUCAAAGUCUCUUCUGCUGC